rnacentral:lncRNA from 1 species
CCUGACUUGUUAGCCGUUUUAAUUGUUUUAAUUCAUUGCGUCAAGCAAGAAUCAGCAUCAAAUAUAAAUAGAAGAAACAAGAGUAGCAAGAAGUCAAAUCAUCCACCACCAUUGCCUCCACGACCAAAGAAACAUUCAUAGUAUGUCUUCCCUGGAAAGACCAAGUGGAAGUAACGGAGAACAAUUAUGAUGACCUUAAGCACUCAAUAUAAAAUUGAAUAGAAAAAAAAAUACAAGAUCCCAAAUCAUGUACGUUACAAGCUAUCCCACAGUUCUAACACUAUGUUGCACACAAUAUAAAAUACAUACAAUUUGUUUCACAAUUCUAACACUAUAUUGCACACAAUAUAAAAUACAUACAAUUUAUUUCUCGAUCAAAUUCAGAAGCUCAUCAUCGGGUUAAUUAAUCUUCAGUAUGCAAAGAUGUUAGUUGUCCCAAUAUCAUGAUUGAUUCAAUAUGAAGGAGAAAUCUAAAAUAAAGACUCGGCUCGUUGCAUAGUACUAAUUAAUUAAAAUAACAUUUACACUCAGCACGCUGCAUACUACUAAUUAAUUAAAAUAACAAUUACAUGGACUUACUGUCUCAUACCUCUAAACUCUUACAGUGCAUGUUACAAUUAGGCAUGAAAUCCCACUGUACAAGCUUAUCCAGAGAAUAAUAACAAGAAAAACUAAAGUUUCACAGGAUCUCCAUGUUUCCCAAACCUAUGACACAAAUACAUUGUCUCCCUGUAAAGCACAAGAGGAAAUAAAACUAGCAACUAAAUAUAUUUAUAUAUAUAUAUACCUAGAAAAUAUCUGAUAAACACAUCAUAUAUUUCAAACUUGUACACACACAGUUAGUAGUUGGACAAUUCCUAGUCCAAAAAUCCAUAAGGCUUUUGACUCUGCCCAAGCCCUACCCUGUCAAAAAUACCAAUCAAGAAUUUUCAGGGUAAAUGAUAAGAGAUCACCAAAUCAUGUUGUUGGUACUUGAACAAUGAAUAGAGAAUUGAUCACACCAAAAUUUCAUUCGGCCUUUUGCAAAUGAAUAAAUUUUUUAACAGUUCACUGCAAGACAAUUAAGAGAAUAGGUCCCCUGAAAUGAUAUUAUUGACCAAGAUUUUCAUUUAAUCACCUCUGAAAUUACUGAUCCUCUGAAACUCUUGUAAAGCCUGUUACCAACACCCAUAAAAACUUCCACAUUAGAAGGUUACUAAAAGCAUAGGCACGAGAAUCCAAAAAAACAGAAAAUUCAAACAAGUUUAGUCAAUCAUGUAUAAAUGCACAACAAAAUUCAAGGGUAAGAACAUAAAGCUUCGCUGGAUCUCGUGCCAAAGUGUCUACAUUCUACCUCAGUCGUUGCUUGUGUUGCUCAAAAGGAUGAAGCAUACAAACAAUAACACAAAUUCAAAAUAAAGAGAUUCACAACAUGAUUGAUUAGACGUAGCAUGAAACAUAAUGCAAACACCACCGCAGAGAAACAAAUGACAAUGAAAAAUCCUAAUAUAUGGUGAUCAAAUCUGAAAAAAUCAAAUAAAGAGGAAAUUCAAACCCAAUCUUUUUAUUUUGAUAGAUCUCUGUCACCAAAUAAAAAUUGCAUUCAAAUAGCUAGUCACAAAUGAACACAAGAGAAAAAUGUAAGGGUAACACUGUCUAAGGCUUCAACUGAUCCCCCAUGCUUCUAAAUGUCCUGACACAUCCAUUGCUCGUGUUACCUGUAAAGAGAAAAAUUUCUAGAAAACUAAAAAAAACUCGUUCUAGAGGAGGAAUUUUAGAAAAUAUUAGAUGAAUUCAAUCAGUAAACCACUGUUGAAAACCAAAUCAAAAUUUAAUACUAAUGUUGGUGAUCAGUCCUUAGAAGUAAAUAAAAGGUGGAACCUCAUAAAAGAAAUUAGGCUAUUACAAGUUCUUGUCUUUUCAAGUUGAACAUGCCGAUGGUAGCGCUCAAACAAAUCCUUUCCAAAAGCAUUGUUGUUAAAAAAUAUUCAAAAUAAAUCUGGAUAUACUUGUACAUUGUAUAAAAGAACUACCAUGAAAUACUAAAGGGUAACUCCCCAAAUUUCAGAGAAACAAAGUUGUCUCAUACUACUCUAAUUAUAGAAACUUAAUGCCUUAACAUUGGUUCAAUUCCUGAUGUGCAAACAAGGAAAUCUGAUACUGCCAGCUUACCACACAUUACUGAAAAUUGAAACCAAGUCAAAACCCACAGAAGAAGAUAGCAAGCCUAGAAUUAUCAGAUAAAACCAAGGUAGCCGUAGUCUCAUUCCUAAAAAUAAGUUUGUGACACAGAACUUUUCGAAAAUGCCCGACUUAAGAUUGGACAUCACAUGUUGUUUUGACUAAAAUUAACAAAUUCACCUCCAAAAUACAAUUCCUGUCCAGAGUCCGUUCUGACUGAAAUUGACAAAUUCACCUCUAAAACUUCAUUAUCUUUAUCGCAUACACUUCUUGUCCAAAUAGAACAAAUAUGAAAAAAAAUGAACUGAAAGGUUUAGGAUAACUAAUAAAAGAAGUCCAAUUAUCUAUCGCCAUGUCAUAAUGUUAACUUUCAAGCCCAAGUGGUUACAGAAAUAUUUCGAAAACACUCAACUCAAUAAACAAUGAAGGAAACAAAAGAAAAAAAAAAUCUAUCACUAGUUGUUCAGACAUGUUAGCCGUCCCACUAUAUAUAUAUUCCAUCACUGGUUGAGUUAUAAAUCUCAAAUAAAGACUCAAUGUGCUGCAAACAAAUAAAAAUAAAUGCAAAUUUCAAAACUAGACGAACGAGAAACCCAAAUGGAGAUUAAAGUGAAACAUUUAAAAUAAUUUCAAGAACAAAUUUCAAAAAUUUCCACCAAAGAGACACUGUUGUAACUCAUAAUAGGCUCAGACAUUGCUGUCACUCAUAAUAGGCUCUCAGACAUUGUUGUUUCAGGAUCAGAUUUCAAAAAUUUCCACCAAAGAGACAUUGUUGUCACUCAUAAUAGGCUCAGACAUUGUUGUCACCCAUCAUAGGCUCUCAAACAUUGUUGUUUUAGGAUCAGAUUUCAAAAAUUUCCACCAAAGACAUUGUUGUCACUAAUAAUAGGUUCUUGGACAUUGUUGUCACCCAUAAUAGGCUCUUAGACAUUCCUGUCAGCCAUAAUAGACUCUCAAACAUUGGUGUCAUCCAUAAUAGGCUCUCAGACAUUGUUGUCACUCAUAAUAGGCUUGCAGGAGAUUACAUGCAGCAAUUCCCAUCAAGUUCACAACUCAGCCCAUAUGUUUGGUAUGAAUCGAAAGGUUUCGGAAAACUAUACAAGAGCCAAAGACCUAUUAGAAGAUUAUCCAGAAAAGCAUCAAAAUUGAGUAGUAGAACUUUUCAAACCAAGGAGUAAACCAUAAAAUCAAAAGAGUAAAAGCCAACCGCAGUUCUCCAAUGCUCAUCCCACAAGAUGCCUCUUAUGAACCAUAAACCAUCAAAAUACAACCAAGAUUAUAAUCAAACCAACAAUGUACAGGCGAAAGAAACAUUUAGCUUCACAAAUAAAAUAAUUGAAUUUCCACAAUUUAAUCCUUGGAGAUCAAAUAGAGAAAAUAAUUCAAACAUCGAACACCAGUCAAUCCAACAACAGAGAGGAAACUAAUCGAGAAAUUAGGAUAUACUGAUGCAGCCGUUUUAAACCCUUUUUAGGGAUUAGUGUUUCAAAUAUCAGAAACUCGAAUUGCUGAAGGGGAAUGAACACCAACACCAAGUUAAGCUAUCACAAAUAAACGCAAAAGAAAGCACAAGAGUAACAGAACAUAAUACUUCACAUCAUGUCCUACACCACGCAUCCAUUGUGUCUUCCAUGUACAACCCAAAAAUUCAAGAAACGAAUUACUGUACAGUCAAAAAUUCAAGGAAACGAACUAAGCUCUUAAUAAAAAGAAGUAUAGAAAAGAUGAGGAUGCAGAUAAAGACUAAAAAGACUUGGACGUUACACAACUAAUCCGAACACCACUGCAGAUAAACAAAUCAUAAUUCAAUCUUAUUAUCGAUGAUCAAAUACCAGAUAAAUUAAAUAACAAAAAGAAGACUAAAAGAAUACUUGAUCAAUUGGCCUUCUGAACUAUUAUGCUUUCCGUUUCAUCCACUGAAAAAACAGGAAUUUGAUCAAAAGGUUCAAAACUCGCCAUCAUCACAUAAAGAAUCAUAUUCGGAGUAAACGAUCUUCAAUCCCAUAGAAGCGUAAAUGAAUCUACUAAUAAUUCUUACGUUCUUCAAUACCAUAAACGCACAUUGAUCACCAAUUAGUAAUUCUUAAUAACUCUUGCGUUCUUCAAUCCGAAAACACAAACAUCAUAUAAUUAGACAAAGCAGAGAAUCAAGAAGUGUGAACUAAUAAGAAGCACAACAAUCCCCCGAAGCAAUAGUAAAAAAAUUCAAUCACCGAAGCAAUACCAUCAAUAACAACAAAACUCAAUAGUCAAGAAAGAUCUUAGGUAUAUAUAGAAA